UACGGAAGGCAGCAGUGGGGAAUAUUGCACAAUGGGCGCAAGCCUGAUGCAGCCAUGCCGCGUGUAUGAAAAAGGCCUUCGGGUUGUAAAGUACUUUCAGUCGUGAGGAAGGUGUUAAGGUUAAUAACCUUAGCAAUUGACGUUAGCGACAGAAGAAGCACCGGCUAACUCCGUGCCAGCAGCCGCGGUAAUACGGAGGGUGCGAGCGUUAAUCGGAAUUACUGGGCGUAAAGGGCACGCAGGCGGUUAAUUAAGUUGGAUGUGAAAUCCCCGGGCUUAACCUGGGAAUGGCAUUCAAGACUGGUUAGCUAGAGUCUUGUAGAGGGGGUAGAAUUCCAUGUGUAGCGGUGAAAUGCGUAGAGAUGUGGAGGAAUACCGGUGGCGAAAGGCGGCCCCCUGGACAAAAGACUGACGCUCAUGUGCGAAAAGCGUGGGGAGCAAAACAGGGAUUAGAUACC
rnacentral:rRNA from 1 species